GACGAACGCUGGCGGCGUGCUUAACACAUGCAAGUCGAACGGUGAAAGAAGAGCUUGCUCUUCUGGAUCAGUGGCGAACGGGUGAGUAACACGUGAGUAACCUGCCCCAGACUCUGGAAUAAGCGCUGGAAACGGCGUCUAAUACCGGAUACGAGGCAGAGCUGCAUGGCUACUGUCUGGAAAGUUUUUCGGUCUGGGAUGGACUCGCGGCCUAUCAGCUUGUUGGUGAGGUAACGGCUCACCAAGGCAACGACGGGUAGCCGGCCUGAGAGGGCGACCGGCCACACUGGGACUGAGACACGGCCCAGACUCCUACGGGAGGCAGCAGUGGGGAAUAUUGCACAAUGGGCGAAAGCCUGAUGCAGCGACGCCGCGUGAGGGAUGACGGCCUUCGGGUUGUAAACCUCUUUCAGCAGGGAAGAAGCGAAAGUGACGGUACCUGCAGAAGAAGCACCGGCUAACUACGUG
rnacentral:rRNA from 1 species